GACGAACGCUGGCGGCGUGCUUAACACAUGCAAGUCGAACGGUAAGGCCCUUCGGGGUACACGAGUGGCGAACGGGUGAGUAACACGUGGGUGAUCUGCCCUGCACUUCGGGAUAAGCCUGGGAAACUGGGUCUAAUACCGGAUAGGACUCCUGGCUUCAUGGUUGGGGGUGGAAAGCUUUUGCGGUGUGGGAUGGGCCCGCGGCCUAUCAGCUUGUUGGUGGGGUAAUGGCCUACCAAGGCGACGACGGGUAGCCGGCCUGUGAGGGUGACCGGUGACACUGGGACUGAGAUGCGGCCCAGAUUCCUACGGGAGGCAGCAGUGGGGAAUAUGGCACAAUGGGCGCAAGUCUGAUGCAGCGACGUCGCGUGAGGGAUGACGGCCUUCGGGUUGUAAACCUCUUUCAGCUAUGACGAAGCGCAAGUGACGGUAGUAGCAGAAGAAGGACCGGCCAACUACGUGCCAGCAGCCGCAGUAA
rnacentral:rRNA from 1 species